rnacentral:rRNA from 1 species
ACCAGACUCCUACGGGAGGCAGCAGUGGGGAAUAUUGGGCAAUGGGCGCAAGCCUGACCCAGCAACGCCGCGUGAAGGAAGAAGGCUUUCGGGUUGUAAACUUCUUUUGUCAGGGACGAAGCAAGUGACGGUACCUGACGAAUAAGCCACGGCUAACUACGUGCCAGCAGCCGCGGUAAUACGUAGGUGGCAAGCGUUAUCCGGAUUUACUGGGUGUAAAGGGCGUGUAGGCGGGGAAGCAAGUCAGAUGUGAAAACCACGGGCUCAACCUGUGGCCUGCAUUUGAAACUGUUUUUCUUGAGUGCUGGAGAGGCAAUCGGAAUUCCGUGUGUAGCGGUGAAAUGCGUAGAUAUCAGGAGGAACAUCGGUGGCGUAAGCGCUUUACUGGGCCGUAAUUGACACUGAGGAACGAAAGCCGGGGUAGCAAAUGGGAUUAGAUACCCUAGUAC